rfam:Rhizobium oryziradicis strain N19 scaffold3, whole genome shotgun sequence.
GGCCCCUUAGCUCAGCUGGAUAGAGCACCUGCCUUCUAAGCAGGUUGUCGCAGGUUCGAAUCCUGCAGGGGUCG